AAAAAAGGAAGGAAGGAAGGGAGGGAGGGAAAGAAGGAAAGAAGGAAGGAAGGAAGGAAGAAAAAAGUGGGGCAAGGCAGCAAGAAGAUGCUGACUUGUUUUCAGCAAUCAUCAGUUAUGAUUACUUCUCUUCUUUUACCAAAAACUUGGACCUCCAGCUUCCUGUAAACCUUUAUCCCAGCUCUUACUGGUAGACAUGCAGUGAAGCCAGAGGGAAUAACAAGUACCCAGCACUUGAAAAACACUUUCAGUCAAGCAUGGUGGCACAUCUGUAGUCCCCGCUACUUGGGAGGCUGAGGUAGGACGAUCACUUGAGCCCAGGAGUUCGAGGCUGCGAUGAGCUAUGAUUGCACCUGUGAAUAGCCAUUGCCCGCCAGCCUAGGCAAUAGAGCAAGACCCCAUCUCCAUUAAAAAACAAAACAAGGCUGGGCGCGGUGGCUCACGCCUGUAAUCC
rnacentral:lncRNA from 1 species